CAGUAGUUAGUCCAUCAGUGAAUUCAACUGCCAUGUCUGCAACCAGAGCUCCUCCUGCAAGCACCUCAAAUGAGACCUCACUCACACCCACUCCACCCAGCAACUCAUCUGACUCUCAGGCCUCACCUACAGGCACCACAGUGACAGCUACCACUGAAGCCACCGAGACGACUCCUGAGCCUCCAAAGUGU